UGCGCAGGCGGGAAAGUAGGUUGGAUGUGAAAACCUCGGGCUUAACCCGGGGCCUGCAUUCAAAACCACUUUUCUUGAGUAUCGGAGAGGAAAGCGGAACUCCAGGUGUAGCGGUGAAAUGCGUAGAUAUCUGGAGGAACACCGGUGGCGAAGGCGGCUUUCUGGACGAAUACUGACGCUCAUGCACGAAGGCUAGGGGAGCAAACA
rnacentral:rRNA from 1 species